rnacentral:rRNA from 1 species
AACGAACGCUGGCGGCAGGCUUAACACAUGCAAGUCGAACGCCCCGCAAGGGGAGUGGCAGACGGGUGAGUAACGCGUGGGAACCUACCCAGUUCUACGGAACAACUGAGGGAAACUUCAGCUAAUACCGUAUACGCCCUACGGGGGAAAGAUUUAUCGGAAUUGGAUGGGCCCGCGUUGGAUUAGCUAGUUGGUGGGGUAAUGGCCUACCAAGGCGACGAUCCAUAGCUGGUCUGAGAGGAUGAUCAGCCACACUGGGACUGAGACACGGCCCAGACUCCUACGGGAGGCAGCAGUGGGGAAUAUUGGACAAUGGGCGCAAGCCUGAUCCAGCCAUGCCGCGUGAGUGAUGAGGGCCUUAGGGUUGUAAAGCUCUUUCAGUGGGGACGAUAAUGACGGUACCCACAGAAGAAGCCCCGGCUAACUCCGUGCCAGCAGCCGCGGUAAUACGAAGGGGGCUAGCGUUGUUCGGAUUUACUGGGCGUAAAGCGCACGUAGGC